UUACCUACUCUUGACAUCCAGAGAACUUUCCAGAGAUGGAUUGGUGCCUUCGGGAACUCUGAGACAGGUGCUGCAUGGCUGUCGUCAGCUCGUGUUGUGAAAUGUUGGGUUAAGUCCCGCAACGAGCGCAACCCUUAUCCUUGUUUGCCAGCGAGUAAUGUCGGGAACUCCAGGGAGACUGCCGGUGAUAAACCGGAGGAAGGUGGGGACGACGUCAAGUCAUCAUGGCCCUUACGAGUAGGGCUACACACGUGCUACAAUGGCGCAUACAGAGGGCGGCCAACUUGCGAGAGUGAGCGAAUCCCAAAAAGUGCGUCGUAGUCCGGAUUGGAGUCCGCAACUCGACUCCAUGAAGUCGGAAUCGCUAGUAAUCGUGGAUCAGAAUGCCACGGUGAAUACGUUCCCGGGCCUUGUACACACCGCCC
rnacentral:rRNA from 1 species